rnacentral:misc_RNA from 1 species
UCAGAACGAAGUCAAGUCUGCAGAUCUUCAGCAAGAAUUUCCAUCAGGGAUAUUGGAAGCCGAGUUGAACCAAAAAGCUAUGGACUCUUAGAUCCUGCAAAUGGAAAUGGUUUGAAGGUGGAUUAUUCAUUUUCAUCUGAAAUUUCAAGCAUAUCACCUCUACUUGUAUGUGUAGAAGUUUCUUUUGAGAACUGUUCCACUGAGAACAUUUCAGAAGUGAGGUUGGUGGAUGAGGAAUAUAACAAAGCUUCAGAUUCUACUGAAAGCUCCUUGACAUCUCACAGUGAUGUCCCUGUACUGGUUCCUAUGGAAGAGAUAACUUUUUUGGAGCCAGGUCAGAGGACAAAGAGGAUUCUCCAUGUUCGAUUCCUUCAUCAUUUACUGCCUUUGAAGCUGGCCUUACAUUGUAAUGGUAAGAAGCUCCCUGUCAAGUUGCGGCCUGACAUUGGAUAUUUUGUGAAACCACUUCCAAUGAACAUUGAAGCCUUCACAGAUAAAGAGUCUCAUCUCCCUGGAAUGUUUGAGUACAUGAGAAGUUGCACCUUCACUCACCACAUUGAAGAGCUGAACAAGGACAAGGGUGACAUGUUAAUGAGAGACAAAUUUCUCUUGGUCUGUGAGAGCCUAGCUGUAAAGAUGCUUAGCAAUGCUAAUGUUUUUCUCGUAUCUGUUGACAUGCCAGUUGCUGCCAAUCUUGAUGAUGCCUCUGGUUUAUGCUUACGAUUCAGCAGUGAGAUUCUGAGCAACGCAUUUCCCUGCUUAAUUACCAUUACUGCUGAAGGUAAAUGCAUUGAACCAUUGAAUGUGUCUAUAAAAGUCAACUGCGAGGAAACUGCUUUUGGCUUAAAUCUAUUGAACAGGAUUGUGAAUUUCCUUAGUUGAGCCUUGCUCACCCACUUGUAUUGGUUGAUUGUGGUAAAAGGUUGGGACUCAUUGAGCGUUGAGUUCAGCAAAAAUACUGAUGAACCAUCAGAGAAUGUCCUUGAUGCUGUUGUGUUAAACAGUAAUUGCAUUUUUUAA